rnacentral:rRNA from 1 species
UACGACUACAUAUCAGGCAUAUCAAUAAGCGGAGGAAAAGAAACUAACUAGGAUUCCCCUAGUAACGGCGAGUGAAGCGGGAAGAGCUCAUAUUUGAAAUCUUCAAGGUUUUCCCUUGACGAAUUGUAGUUUAAAGAAGUGUUUUCUGUUGGAGUUUUGGUAAAAGUUCUUUGGAAUAGGACAUCAUAGAGGGUGAGAAUCCCGUAUUUGACCAUUAUUUCCAGCUUUGUGAUACACUUUCAAAGAGUCGGAUUGUUUGGGAAUGCAGUCCAAAAUGGGUGGUAAAUUUCAUCUAAAGCUAAAUAUUGGCGAGAGACCGAUAGCGAACAAGUACCGUGAGGGAAAGAUGAAAAGAACUUUGAAAAGAGAGUUAAACAGUACGUGAAAUUGUCAAAAGGGAAGCGUUUGACACCAGUGUUGUUUCUAGCGAAAAUCAAUUUAUGAUGGCUUGAUGCUAAGCUUUAAGACUUUAUCCGCUUGUUGUUUAGUUUUCUUGUCUUUGUGAAUGCACUUUUCGUUGAACAAGUCAACAUCAAUUUCUUUUGCUGUAAAAGGGUAAGAGGGAGGUGGCUUCGGCUUCGGUUGAAGUGUUUAUAGCCUUUUAUCUCUGCAGUCGGAGAGAUUGAGGUCUGCAGCGUAGACUCUUCGGGGUUAGAUACGUCGGUGCUAAGCUAUAGCUUUUCAUAGACAACUUGUUGACUAUGUUUAGUCAUGUGGCUUACCCGCUGGCGCUAUUUUACCUACGCUUAGGAUGUUGACUGAUAUGUAGUCGUA